UUCUCUUCUCUACUCUCUCUUCUCUAUCUCUCUCUACUCUACCAAACAGAGCAUAAGUGCGUCUUUCUUUCCCCUUUUUCUUCUUCCAUGACCUAAUCGCCUGCAUCGAUCAUGUUUCUGCUGAAGGAGUACAGUGUGUUGCAGUCGUUUUGCUCUCCAAUUUUUGUACUUUUGAUGAUCUCACCUUCUGCGUUGGAAAAGUUUUGGUGGAAGGUGAAGACUGUGGGCAUUGGUUUGAUUUCGACAUAGAUCGUCACAUUUAGCUGGCUCUCUCACUGUAUACUCUCUGAUGUGUGGGAGCAGUUGGUGUCAAUUGUAGUUGUUGCAGUUUCAAUGAAGAAGAAGGUUCGUGUUAUUUGAUGCCUUGCAAAUGGAAGACAUCACUGAGUCAUAUGAUGAGGGUGGUUCUUUUGAUUCUGUGCUUAGGCUGAAUGGCGUGGGCAAUCUGGCAACAUCGGAACUAUGUAAUCUUCAAGGAGGGGAGAAAUCAAGAUGUGUCAAUCUUUGAAGGUGCUCAACUUAGAGCUUGGCAUUGGUUUACAGGAAGAGUGAAGGGAUUCAAUUGCUCAACAUAUGAAUGGUUGGCUCAACCUAUACUAUGUAUUAAGGCAGCGGUUCUAUGAUUUUGAUGCACUCACCAGUUCCUCUGGGCGGCGAAAAGGGAUUUUUAUUUUUUUGAAACAAAGAGAGAAAGAGAAGGAAAUUUACCAAAAAGAAAAAACGCGAGAACGUUGUUCCCCUAAACUCUGAUCAAAUCGAGCUAUUAAAGAAGCAAGGUUGGAAAGAAGGGAAUGGUCUUGGGAUAUUUGAGCAGGGUAGACUAGAACCCAUGGAAACUUGUGUGAAGAAUAACAAACGAGGUUUGGGAGCGGACAAAGGGAAGAAAAAGGCCGUGAAGUCUGAUGAUAGUAAUGUCUCUGAAGGGAACUAUCAGCAGAUAACCAAGGGUCUAUUGGAGAAGUAUGGCCCUGAGAGGGUUCUUGAUACUCCAAUCACUGAGAAGAACAGAACUACUUUCUGGUUGUUGGUGAGGGAUCUGAUUGAUUCUGAGGAGGAGGAGGAAGAGGUGUUGUUUGAUGACAUGGGAGCGUGUGUGUCAACUCCACAAGGUUGUGUUGGGGGAAAGUUGAAGAGGAAAAAAACCGCAAGAGGAGGAGAGGAGAUGGGCUCAGGAGAAGAGUUUGUUGUCGGUUGUAUAAGAAGGGGAAGGGAUCAUCAUUGGACAAGGUUGAUGUGCCCGGUGACCGUUCCUUUGCCAACAACCCCACUUUCCAAGCUGGAAGUAUUAUUGAGGAGGCAUGGUUUGAUUCUGUAGCAGUGUUUGAAUCAGACUGUGAUGAUGAUUACCAGAGUGUCCCUGAUGAUGUUGUAUCUCUGAAUGGGAUAGAAUCCAUAUCAAGUUUUGCAUCUUCAAGAGAUGGCAACCAAGUUUCAACUGAUCAAGUACAGAAAACAAAGGAGUUGUUAUCUAGAGGAUAUUCUGGAAAUAUCUCUGAGGCUGCCAGAAUUUCAGAUGUUCAACAUUCUAGUGUAGAUGUCAUUGAUUCUCAAUGUAAAUGCGACAGAAAUAUAGUUGAAGGAAAUGAACCUGUGUUCCUUGAUGAAAUCUCCUCAGUGGAUGCAAAUUCCAUCAAGGAAGAUGGAAUUUUGGAUAACUGUGGGAUUCUUCCGAAUAAUUGUUUGCCUUGUCUUGCAUCUACUGUUCCUUCCAUUGAAAAGAGAAGAUCAUCAAGUUCUAGUCCUCCUAGUGCAAGGAAGAAGACUCCUAUGAAAAUCUCCUCUAAAUUGAGGGAAGGACAUGGGAUUGCUACCCUAUUUUCGUCAAAGGAACUUCUACAAAGACCAAUUGCAGGUUCUCAAGUACCCUUUUGUCCAAUUGAAAAGAAAAUGCUUGAUUGUUGGUCACACAUUGAUCCAAGCACUUUCAAAGUCCGAGGAGUAAAUUAUUUGAAGGACAGGAAGAAGGAAUUUGCUCCUAACCAUUCUGCAUAUUACCCAUUUGGUGUAGAUGUUUUCUUAUCUCCGCGAAAAUUGGACCAUAUAGCUAGGUUUGUGGAGCUUCCUGUUAUUAGUACCUCUGGGAAAUUUCCACCCAUACUUGUUGUGAAUGUACAGAUUCCUCUCUACCCUGCCGGACUGUUUCAAGGUGAAACUGAUGGCGAAGGAAUGAGUUUUGUUUUGUAUUUUAAACUUUCAGAAAGUUACUCCAAGGAACUUCCACUGCAUUUUCAAGAAAGCAUGAGGAGGUUGAUGGAUGAUGAAGUUGAGAAGGUAAAGGGUUUUCCUGUAGAUUCAAUUGUUCCCUUCCGUGAAAGGUUGAAAAUCUUGGGCCGUGUUGUCAAUCUGGAAGAUCUUCAUUUAAGUGCAGCUGAAAGGAAGCUUAUGACCGCUUACAAUGAGAAACCUGUUCUGUCACGUCCCCAACAUGAGUUUUACUCGGGAGAAAACUACUUUGAGAUUGAUAUAGAUAUGCAUAGAUUCAGUUAUAUCUCCAGGAAAGGGUUUGAAGCUUUCUUGGACAGAUUAAAAGUCUGUGUUCUAGAUGUUGGUUGAACAACGUGUGUAUAGUGAAUGAAAGCAACUUAUGGAAUAUUCCAAUCCAUAAAAUGUUGGGUAGAAACCAAUGGAUAUAGAGGCCCAGAGAGUAAGAGAAAAGAUACAAGUAAUGUAUCUGAUAUAUAAUGUUAUGUGAUCAGAACUGAGCAAUAAAAAGAAAAAUGAGGUGCAUGUGAGGUGUUUGGAAUGAGUAAUUAUACAUCGAUAAACUUUCUGGUAUGCAAUCGAUACACACUUUAGCAGUGGUAAAACAGCCGCAAACAUUUGCACUUAAUGACAGUCCCGCUAAAGUGUAUGUUGAUUGAAUGUUAAUGGGAAGUGUAUGUCUAAGCAUAAUUUUCAUUUUGGAAUACUGAAUAUGGUUUUUCGACUC